rnacentral:tRNA from 1 species
GGGGAUGUAGUUCAGUAGUAGAGUGCUUGUCUAGCAUGUAUGUGGCCCUGGGUCCAAUCCCUAGUAUUGCCA